AAUUCUCAAAACCCUUCCUUUUUGGAAGGAUUUUGGACUUGGAGGCCUUUUGCUGGUUUCGCCUUGAAGCGAGCUCCUCCUAAAUGUAUUAGUGGGGUCUGCAUUGUCGGUCCUUGGCGUGAUAAGUUGUUUCUACGUCUUGGAUUUUUGGCGCUGUACACCUGCUUCUAACUGUCUCAUCGACAAUGAUGGUGUUCCGGUCACCGCCGAUUUUUCGGUGAGCGGCUUGACCCACAAAACGAA
rnacentral:misc_RNA from 1 species